UAGCUUAGUAUACACUUCAACAAGGCCGACAGUGGAGGAGUUUUUUAAGUUUGCAUACAGAAUACUGAGAAAAGCAAUUACAAGUGGUAA